AAAGAUGAUAAAAACAUAAAUAUGCCUAUACAACCACCCACUCCACCUACUAAAAAUACUGUUUUUAAACCGUGAUGACAAAAUCAGGUUUUCUUAUAUUAAGCGUUAAGGUCAACAGUUUUUGUUUAUUGUUAUGAUGCAGAAUUGCAAUAUAUUACCAUUGUUGUUAUUUUUAUUACAGUUCUUUCUAAGCAACAAAUUGCCAUCUGAAUUUUGCAGCCAUAUAUUGCGUUGUUUUGUUGCGCGACCGGUUCAAUACUGACAGAAACUGAGAAAUAUUAUCACCGAGGAAGAAAAGUGGAAAGGAGAGGCAGACUUCAUGCGCACGAAUCUAUUCGCCAUCAUCAGAAAGAGAUUUUGCACGUCUGGAUUUGAUUACAUCUUUAAAGUUCGACGAAGACCUCAAUCAAAAGGAAAAUACAGAAUAAGAUAUAUUUGUUCGCAAAUAUUGUAAUUUCAAAAAUUAACACUGUCUAAGUCUGAAAAAAUACAAACCUUUAUAAAAUUUUCC
rnacentral:misc_RNA from 1 species